UUCCGUUUUGCGUAUAAUUUAAAAUUACGUAUAAAUUUCGCUAAGAUUUCGUAGUUUUGUUCGUGAGUGUUUUAUAUAUGUUUAUUCACAAAAAUGAAAUAUAAAUAUAACAGCAAUCGUGUUUUAUUUCCGAGUGUCGAUAUGGUUUAUCGUUAUAGACCGAGAAUUUGUCGCCAUGAUGUUAUUUACGAACGAUUGUUAGUUGAUCUAAUUUUGAAGGCGGGAAAGAUUCCAAUAUGGAUGUCAAGAAGACGCGAUAAAAUUUGAUAUUUUAUGAUCGUGUGCGUUGUUUUAUUAGAAUCAGUGUUUAUUUCGUAAUAAUAUUUUGAAUUUUUUAGAGCAUUUAUCUAUUAAAUUUAAAUAUAAAUAUAUUUCGCGAAAUUAGAGUCAGUGUUUAUUCGAUUAUAAUAUAAACAAUAGCAUUGGCAGUACAGAUUCUUUGCAUCUAAUGGCGAGAAGAAAAGGAAGGAUCCAUCGAUUUAAUCGAGGCACGCGUAUCGAUUUUAAUUGGAGAAAAAUUGGAGAAAAGAUGCCUGGCGGCUGUUCAUCACCUAAUAAAAAAAAAAAAAAAAAAAAAUUAUCCACGCGCGGUUUUCCACAAAGAAAUUGAAUUUUCUUCCGAGAUGCCAAAACUUGAUCUUAUCACGGAAAAAGAAAAAAAAAGAUUUCGUUUCGCCAUUUCCUUUCCUAUUCCAAUAACGAGAGAUAAGAAAAGAAAUGAAACACGAGAGGAUGGAGGUGCUAAAAACGUCGAUAAUCUCCGUUGAUCUAUGAAGUUGAAGACGAAGAGAGUGAGCCGGGAUCAAAGGUCAUCGAGAGCGAGAUAUUGGUACGGUCGUACCUCCCCCCCUCCCUUCGCUUUACCUUGACAUCUGCGCGUGCGCAAUUCCUUUGGCGGGGAGCAGACGUUAUUGUUUCGCGAAAAUCAAGAUAAUUUUGUAAUUUUGCAUCCCCAAGGCUCGCGUAUGUUUUUCCUUUUUUGCGAAUUUGACGAUCUUCUAUCUUUUUUCUUCUCUAUUUUAUAUUAUGCGAUUAAAAAUAAAACUCUCUUAUCCGCAGGAGGAGAGUCGCUAUCCGAUGACAGAUGCCGGGGAGCAGACGUUAUUGUUUCGUGAAAAUCAAGAUAAUUUUGAAUUCCCAAGGCAUACGUUUUUCCUUUUUUGCCUCUUCUUUGUAAAAAAAACGAAUACCACUGAAUUUGACGAAUUUCUUUGCGUUUUAUAUUAUACGAUUUAUAUUUAUAUUAUACGAUUAAAAAUAAAACUCUCUUAUCCGCAGGAGGAGAAUUGUUAUCCGAUGACAGAUGCCAGGAAUGGGAAGAAGAGAUAUUUUUCCCGAAAAGAAGAGAUCCGGAGGACGAAGUCGUAAAUAUUGUGGUAGGAACGAUCGAAUUUCCAGAUUUGAUCAGAAUAUAAUAAAAAAGAAAAAUUUUCUUCGUUAUAUAAAAGAAGCAAGAAAAAUAAAUUAACAUUGGAAAGUAGACGAUGCAGUGGAUAAUUAUUAACGAGAUUCAUCUACUUUGGAUGAUGAGAAAGCAGUUCAAAGAAAACAAUAGGAUCCCCCGUUGAAACAUCGAGUAUCCGGUUGAAGAUGGGUAGUGGCUGCAGGGGGUCCAAUUUAACGAUGUACAAACGAUCGAGGCGUUAAUUACUUUCUAAUCGUUGCUUGCCAGUAUAAAAAAAAAAAAAGAAAAAAAGAAAGGUAACGAAAGAAAAAUCUAACUUUGUCGAAAGAUAUAUUUCUCAUCGUAUCUUUUCUCGAUUUAUCGACUGCUCGAUCUCAAUUAUUAUUUUUGUCGAUAUCGAAAUCGGCAUAUUACUAUACCGGAUGGAAGAAAGUCAACCUCGAGAGAUACACAGACCACCUGGAUUUCUUCCUGGGAGGUCGCAAAAACUGGAUGUAUUAAACAACCAUCAAAAAAAUAAAAGGAGCUCAGAAUAAAAAAGAAUCACAGGUUUCGGGAGUCGAGGAACAGAUAAUAAUUAAAAGAUAUGCAUUUCUUUCCUUUGACACCACUUUUAACGAUUUGUAUAAUAUUUCAAUGCCUGGUUUUUUUUUUCAGAUACAUACAAUGAGAAACGCUUUGAAAUUGUCAAUUCACAAAACUUUGAAAGAAUGAAUUUUUUAUUUUAAAAUCUUCCACGGUAAAAACGAUUUACCAAGAGGUGAUCCUUGAAGAUCAUUUUCCUACGUCUAUAUACUGGAAUCCCUUGCCUGUGAGAAAGUCCCAAGGCAGGAAGUGACUAUAAAUAUUUGCUUAGCUAGCCGUCUUUUACGAUUACAACGCGAUUCAGCUUGACUGGAGCUCGAUUGUACUCAUGUGACGUAAUGUUCCGUUUUGCACUGUACUUGAUGUUGGAACAAGUUGAAGAAGGACGAUUUAAAGUUGCGAAACGACAAAGAAGACUUUAUCAGUAGUAUUUUUAUAUUUGAAAUUCCAUGAAUCUAUAAUCUUUUCAAGCAUUUUACAAGAUAUUAAUACAAGAUUUCCGUAAUAAUAUCUACUUUGCUAUAUGAGAAAUUAUAACUCUAAAAUGAGGAAGUCUAGAGUUAAUACUCGAUCUCAACAAAAUUGCAACUUUAGCCUAGAUGAUACUAUAAAUAAAUACUUUAUAUUAUACCUGUAUUGAGAUAUGCUUGCGAAAAUAAUCAACAUUAACUACUUGAACUAUAAUUAUCCUAUCAAUCUUAUAUGGCAUGAAGAAAUUAGUCAUGCUUCUGAAACCAUUAAAAACGACGGGGGAAAAAGAAAUAAUUCACGAUAAACGCGGAGGAUCCAGUUGUUGACUGUACUACGAAGGCAAUAUACUAGAGGGAAGUUAAUAAGCAACCGCAUAGAAGUUGGCAAGGCCUAAUAUCAGCCUAAAUAUACACAACGUGAAAGUCCAGGAAGGGUCUUAAAAAGGCUAUAUGGAUUAAAAAAACGUAGCCGAGCCUACUGAUCUGUAAAAAAAAUUAAGAAGAUGCUCAUAUUGCAACAAAGCUAAUCUGCUCAAUCUUUAUAGCUUCCCCCUUUCGUUCCAUGAUCAACUCUUCAACGGAAAGAGAACUCAUCGCAAUUAGAAUAUUCACAAAUUGUAUUUAUCGAAGAUAACCUAUAUAUAUAUUAUAUAUAUUCAUAUAUAUAUUCAUUAUAUAUUGUAUAUUAUAUAUAUAUAUAUAUAUAUUAUAUAUAGGUUAUCUUAGUUAUAUAGGUUAUAUAGGCUAUAAAUAUAUUAAAAACACAAGGAUAAUAAAGAAAAUUCGUCAAAAGGAAUUAAAAACUUGCAUUUACAGCAAGAAAUUCUUUUGUUCGACUAAAGUAAAGAAAGUUGAAGUGAUUCUCUAUUUUAACAAGAUCAAGAAGAACAAGAUCCAUCCAACGAUUGAAUAGAGCUAAUGGAAUUAGCUCCUAAAAAUAUUUACUUUUAUUGAAUUACCUGAAGAAAAGAGAGAGAGAGAAAUCUACAGGAGAGGGAAGAGAGAAUACGAUCGAGCCUUUGUCGCAACAGUUAAUCCAUGGAUAAAAGAAUCGAAGAGUAUCCUCGGUAUACUUGUCGUGGAGAAGAAACGAGAUCGCAGCACGAAUCCAAAAUCGAGGGUAUCGAGUUUUCGUAUAGUCCUAGGAAAAUAUUAUCGCAACGAGAAGGGGGAAAGAAACGCGAUUUCCAAUUGGAGGGGCAGUUUUUACGUCGAGAUCCCGGAUUCCUCCGUCCAUUUUUCCUCUCGUGAAUCUGCCUCUCCCUUUCCCUUGCCGUACAGGUACCCUCAGGUCGACUAACUUUGCCUCGUUUGGAGCCCAUUCUUCCCCAUUCAUUCUCUGUGUCGUUUUCUCCCGGAGGACAAUCCACGGUGUCCUGGGGUCUCACGCCUCGGCAUUGACCGCCACCAUUCAUCGGUUCAUUCUCUUCCUUCGACAGCGACUCUUUGUCACCCCCCUCAGAGAUACGCGGCGGAGGGAAGGAGGGAAUGUGGGGGAAGAAACCGUGAAAAAUAAAAGGAAGCCGAGUUUGCGGUGGAAAAAUGAGAAAAAGAAAGAGAGACAGAGAGAGAGAGAGAGAGAGAGAGAGAGAGAGAGAGAGAGAGAGAGAGAGACGGCUCGAGCCGCGGAAUUAUGGAGCGUGGAGAGACGGGGUUUUCUUGCGGUAUUCUAUUCAAUCGGCCGCUUACUGCGAUUCCAACCAUUCUCAGCUUCGAUGGUAGCAGCCACUUUGCCGAAAUCACGCCCUCCUUUUGACAAUGACAUCAAGAUUUAUCGAAAUCCUGCAGGGAUAUAUCGUGAUUUUUGCGCUCGUGUUCCCUUUGUACGAUUCUUUCCAUGUAACUAUAAACCUUGAUUACGCUUUAUUAGAUCGGCUUGUCAUCGUCAUUAUCAAUGAAUAACGAAAAUCAAGCGAAUGCUGUAAACUUUGCGCGUUAAAAUUAAUUUUUUUUUCAAGAUUAAAUUGAAAAAGAGGCUUAGAAUUGAAAUUAUAGACAAAUGUUUCUUCUACUUUCAACCAGGAGUACAGCAUCGCGCAAGAGGUAAACAGGAAUGUCGAGCAAAAAAGAAAAUCUCGUGCAAACGAUGUGAAAGAAUUACGGACAAUAUAUAUAUAUAUUUCUUUUAUUUUCAAAGGAGGACGUUUCAUCGUGCAAGAAACAACAGGAAUGUCGAGCAAAAGAAAGAAAGAAAGAAAAAAAAAAAAACGUUUUACAAACAGAUUAACAUAGCGUGAAAGAAUAUUUACGAGCGAUGAGAUAUCCUUAAUCGAUAUCUGUGUUAUUCGAAAGGCACCAGUCAUCCUAUCGAUGAUAUAAAACUCAUCAAUCGGCGGCGAUUUAUAUUGCUCUCCAUCCAUCGAUAUCUGAUACUGUUCCUACCAAUUGUAAAUGAUAAAAUUAUCAUCUUGUUAUAUUGGAAUGAAAAUAUCCAUCAUCUCUAAUCUAUACGGAACGUCUUGAUCCUACGCCAAUGACUCCACCAUACACGCGUACCUAUACAUUCUCGUAAAAAGCACGUGCUCGAUUUUCGGUUGGAAUUCGCUCCUCUCGCUCGUUUCCACGGGUAAACUCGUGGCGUAUUUGUGUGGUAUUCAGCGAGAGGAUCGAAAGAGAGGGCCCGACAAUUACGAGUACCUGGACGAGCAGCAACGAGCAGCCUGUUGCUCCUCCCGGCGUACUCUGCACCAGUGUAUAUACCCGGACAGGUUUCGGCGGCGUAAUUAUUAAUAUAAGAGAAAGAGAGAGGAGGAUGCUCAAGGUGGUCCCUCUCGGUGGAAGGGCACGGGGCAGUUUUUGUUUUUUUUCUUUUUUUUUUUUUUCAAUCAAGUUCUCAAGAGUGUAGAAUCGUCAGCGUGCACGCACACGCGGCUGCUUUCGGGUGCGAUACGCGACGUAUCAUAAUUACCGGAGGACCAAUUAAUGGUCGAGUCGACAUCCCCGGUAAUUUGGACAGAAAGUUAUUUGUCAAUUACUUAUCUAAUUCCUGUUGAUUUAUCCUCUCUUUGUACUACGUUGUUCUUGUGUUGGUUAGUGUUCUUUUAUUUUGUUUUGUGUUUCUUUCUUUUAAACGCUUGUUAGAAUUCUUGUUCGAAUCUGAUAUUUUUGAUGAAAAAAUUAAGAUAUAAAGAAAGGAAAUUUGAUGUAUCGUUUAUAUAUGCAUUUUUAUAAUCGAUUAUUAGAUAGCAACAAGAUUUGCAGCUGGGAUUUAUAAUUAGAGAAUUAAAAAAUAUUAUUCAAAUUCAAUAAAUAUUCAUCUAUUUUUCUGGCAUGCAAGAAAGAAAAAUUAGAAAUUCAAAUCGACGUCCAAUAACUAUGAAUGGCAUACCGAGAGAGGAUAGAGAGGCGAGGUAAUAUCUUUGGAAGGAUGUUCCUCGAAGGAGCGCAGAUCAGAUAGGGUUUGGCAAAGGCACGGUGUGGAUGAAAUUGAAAAACGCAACGAUAGGAUGAUUCGUGCGCGCAAUUUGCACGAAUGGAUUAACGUGUAAACUCGCACGAGGGACCGUGGCCAAGGUAAGACGAUUCGCGCGUGCGCACCAAUACUUUCCAUGUAAGGGGGAGCCUACUGGCCCCGUGGCACACGAACCUACAAACCGAACAAGCCACCGUUCCCGAUCGUUUUGGGCCUGACCAGAACAAACCUUCGAAAACCUGUAGCUUCCUUUUUCGUCCUUGUUUUGAUGUGCCAACGCGUGCGUGUGUUCGGAAAUAAACAAUACCUGCGAUCCACUAUCCGAUGAUAAUGAGGCUUCCCAAAUGUUCAAAUGCGAACUGUGACGAAUGUUAAAAGAUAUUAUUUUAUAAUUUUCAUUUUGUAUCAGCUGAUUAGUUAUUGGACAUGGAUUUUUAAUUUUAUGAAAAUCAAGAAUUUUUGUAAAAAAUUGUUUUUAUUUGUGAUUGUCAGAUUAAGAGUUGAGGUAAAAUUUCGAGUAAAGUUACUUUAAAUAAUAAGUUUAU